GACGAACGCUGGCGGCGUGCUUAACACGUGCAAGUCGAACGGAAAGGCCCUGCUUUUGUGGGGUGCUCGAGUGGCGAGCGGGUGAGUAACACGUGAGUAACCUGCCCUUGACUUUGGGAUAACUUCAGGAAACUGGGGCUAAUACCGGAUAGGAGCUCCUGCUGCAUGGUGGGGGUUGGAAAGUUUCGGCGGUUGGGGAUGGACUCGCGGCUUAUCAGCUUGUUGGUGGGGUAGUGGCUUACCAAGGCUUUGACGGGUAGCCGGCCUGAGAGGGUGACCGGCCACAUUGGGACUGAGAUACGGCCCAGACUCCUACGGGAGGCAGCAGUGGGGAAUAUUGCACAAUGGGCGGAAGCCUGAUGCAGCAACGCCGCGUGCGGGAUGACGGCCUUCGGGUUGUAAACCGCUUUCGCCUGUGACGAAGCGUGAGUUACGGUAAUGGGUAAAGAAGCACCGGCUAACUACGUGCCAGCAGCCGCGGUGAUACGUAGGGUGCGAGCGUUGUCCGGAUUUAUUGGGCGUAAAGGGCUCGUAGGUGGUUGAUCGCGUCGGAAGUGUAAUCUUGGGGCUUAACCCUGAGCGUGCUUUCGAUACGGGUUGACUUGAGGAAGGUAGGGGAGAAUGGAAUUCCUGGUGGAGCGGUGGAAUGCGCAGAUAUCAGGAGGAACACCAGUGGCGAAGGCGGUUCUCUGGGCCUUUCCUGACGCUGAGGAGCGAAAGCGUGGGGAGCGAACAGGCUUAGAUACCCUGGUAGUCCACGCUGUAAACGGUGGGUACUAGGUGUGGGGUCCAUUCCACGGGUUCCGUGCCGUAGCUAACGCUUUAAGUACCCCGCCUGGGGAGUACGGCCGCAAGGCUAAAACUCAAAGGAAUUGACGGGGCCCCGCACAAGCGGCGGAGCAUGCGGAUUAAUUCGAUGCAACGCGUAGAACCUUACCUGGGUUUGACAUGGAUCGGGAGUGCUCAGAGAUGGGUGUGCCUCUUUUGGGGUCGGUUCACAGGUGGUGCAUGCCUGUCGUCAGCUCGUGUCGUGAGAUGUUGGGUUAAGUCCCGCAACGAGCGCAACCCUUGUUCACUGUUGCCAGCACGUUAUGGUGGGGACUCAGUGGAGACCGCCGGGGUCAACUCGGAGGAAGGUGGGGAUGACGUCAAGUCAUCAUGCCCCUUAUGUCCAGGGCUUCACGCAUGCUACAAUGGCUGGUACAGAGAGUGGCGAGCCUGUGAGGGUGAGCGAAUCUCGGAAAGCCGGUCUCAGUUCGGAUUGGGGUCUGCAACUCGACCUCAUGAAGUCGGAGUCGCUAGUAAUCGCAGAUCAGCAACGCUGCGGUGAAUACGUUCCCGGGGCU
rnacentral:rRNA from 1 species